rnacentral:tRNA from 1 species
GCCGACUUAGCUCAGUUAGGUAGAGCACCUCAUUCGUAAUGAGUUGGUCGAGGGUUCAAUUCCUUCAGCCGGCACCA